rnacentral:rRNA from 1 species
CCCUCGGGAUGGUCUAGCCAUGCGAGUCGUUGUAGCAAUACAAGGCGGACGGCUCAGUAACACGUAGUCAACCUACCCUAUGGACGUGGAUAACCUCGGGAAACUGAGAAUAAUACACGAUAGAUCAUAAUGCCUGGAAUGGUUUAUGAUUGAAAUGAUUUAUCGCUGUAGGAUGGGACUGCGGCCUAUCAGCUUGUUGGUGGGGUAAUGGCCCACCAAGGCUAUAACAGGUACGGGCUCUGAGAGGAGAAGCCCGGAGAUGGGUACUGAGACACGGACCCAGGCCCUAUGGGGCGCAGCAGGCGAGAAACCUUAGCAAUGUGCGAAAGCACGACUAGGUUAAUCCGAGUGAUUUCUGCUGAAGAAAUCUUUUGUCAGUUCUAAAAAUACCGAUGAAUAAGGGGUGGGCAAGUCUGGUGUCAGCCGCCGCGGUAAUACCAGCACCUCGAGUGGUCAGGAUGUUUAUUGGGCCUAAAGCAUCCGUAGCCGGCUUUGCAAAUCUCCGGUUAAAUCCAGCUGCCUAACAGAUGGGCUGCCGGAGAUACUACAAAGCUAGGGAGCGGGAGAGGCAGACGGUAUUCGGUGGGUAGGGGUAAAAUCCUCUGAUCCAUUGAGGACCACCAGUGGCGAAGGCGGUCUGCCAGAACGCGUUCGACGGUGAGGGAUGAAAGCUGGGGGAGCAAACCGGAUUAGAUACCCGGGUAGUCCCAGCUGUAAACGAUGCAAACUCGGUGAUGCAUUGGCUUAUGGCCAAUGCAGUGCCGCAGGGAAGCCGUUAAGUUUGCCGCCUGGGAAGUACGGUCGCAAGACUGAAACUUAAAGGAAUUGGCGGGGGGAGCACCACAAGGGGUGAAGCCUGCGGUUCAAUUGGAGUCAACGCCGGG